CUCUCCUCCCUGACUCCGUCUAAGCAGAUUGAAAACUUAGUUUCUGAGCCCUGAAGCAAACAGAGAAGAGCAGCCAGCCUCCCGCGGAAGCUCUUCACAGUCUCCCAGGGAUUUCCAGUCAUGGCCAACAUCUUUGUUACAGGACGGAAUCCAGCAACCACUCGCAACCUUAGCAUAAAGCAGUAGCCAAGUCUUACGGGCUAGUUACGAAUAUCAGA
rnacentral:lncRNA from 1 species